rnacentral:rRNA from 1 species
AUGAGCCGCCCGGACGACGGACAUAGGUCUUUCUUCCCUGUGGGAAACCCCUUCCGGGUCAUCCUCCCAGGGGGACCUCACCUGCCUCGGAAGCUCCAGGCGCUGCUCAAGUCAUACGAGGAUGCCCUGGCCUUGAGCUUGAGGAAGCUAAAGCCGGAGAAUCCCUUGGAGGUCCUCACCUUGUCCUGGAUGAGGCUUGCCGUGGAUUGCUUGUCAGAGCUGCAUGCCAACAUAGGCACCCUGAUAACCGAGCUCGAGCUGCCUGUCUCGGAUUGGGAUGAGAAGUGGGUGGACAUUUACUUGAACAGCAGCGUUAAGCUGCUGGACAUCUGCAUCGUGCUGAGCUCGGAGCUCGCUCGGUUGGAUCAAGGGCAGUUGCUUGUCAAGUAUGUCCUGCAUGUGUUGGACACCAAAAGCGGUGUGCUGUCAUUGGAGCAGCUCAAGCGAGCUGAGGUAUCACUUAAGGAGUGGAUGGACAAGGUGGACACAGCGCGCCCAAGACUCGACAGCUGCUCAACGGCCUUGCAGGAACUUGCUGGGAGCCUUUGUCUGAUGAAGGUCAAGAAUUCUGCUAAGGGGAAGGUCCUCAUGAGAGCUUUGUAUGGAAUAGAGUCUGUGACAGUCUUUACCUGCAGCGUCUUUGUGGCUGCACUGUCAGGCAGUCCCAAUCCAUUGGUGGAGUUGCAUGUCCCUCAGAAAUUUGGUUGGGCACAGGCCUUCAAUGAGCUUCAUGCUACCAUCAGUGGGGAAGUCAAAAGGCAAUUAUCCAGGGGAAGUGUUUCAGCUGUAAAAGAGCUGGAAGAAGUCGAAGCAUGUGCCAGGAAACUGCAUGCGUUGACUAGGACUGCUCAGCUUGAAGAAGAAAAUGACAACCUGGUUUGUGCUGUGAGCCUUUCAAAGCAAAUGGUGAUGCCGGACAUCACUGAACAGAAAGAAAAACCCGAGUGUAAUCUUAAGUCGGCUGAUGACAGUAGCCAGGAAUGUGAAGUGAUCAUGACAGAGAUUGGUACUGAAGAAGGAACACAAGAAGCUGAAAUUAUGCAGGAUACCCACUGUGAGAGUAAGCUGAGCACGCUUGAGAGUAUCAGUGAAGAUGACAAGAUGAUAAGUGGGGCAAAUGGCUUCAUCGACGAGAAUAUGACCAUCGUUCCUGAGAGAACCAGCAUCUCGGAAGGUAGAGAAGAGCUGCUGGACUGUAUCUCCAGCAUGUCAAAAAGCGCCGAGGGGCUUUGGCUCGGGUUGGAUUCGUUGUCCAAACGAGUCGGGGACUUCUUCCAGAUCGUGCUUACAGGACGUGACGCGUUGCUCUGCAACCUAAGGAUGUCAGAUGCAGCAAGCAAGGUCACCGAGGUUAGGUCUUGA